CUUUUUCAUCUUCUUCUGGAACCAAGACUAAAAAAGUCCCUACCCAAAAAAAAGAGGAGACCAACGGCAGAACUCAAUGGACAACCCAUCGCCCGUCUUCUUCUUCAGCCUCUUGAAUGCCAAAAAACCAGAACCCCCUUAAACCUUCAACCUUCACAAACCAACGACCACCCCUUUCGAAAAAUCCAUCUUCCUCGCCUCUCCAAUCGCCUGAGACAGCAGUAAAAGCACACACACACAUGGAAAGGCUGAAACAGUGAUGCACACACACAUAGGGAUAUUGGAAAACAAAAACAGAAAAGUGAAAACGAGCAAGGAACAUAAUAGAAAUUGAAAUCCAUUAAUCUUUUUCCUUAAAAAUAAAUCUCGACCCAUAAGCUUUAUGUCAGGCCAUCAACCAUAAAUUCCAGUCAAGCCUUUGAGAUUCGGUUUUCUAGGACGAGUAGAGGUCGGGUUCGUCGGCAAGAUUUGAAUUUCUCCGGCGAGGUUCGGUCAGUCCGUCGUUUGUCGAAUUUCCUUCGUGGUCUUGGUCACAUCCCUAUCCUUUUGGGAGCUUCAAAACAGUCAAGUUCAGAUUCGCUUUCAGAGGUCCCCUUCUCACAUUUUUAUUUCUUGAGUUUAACGGAUCAUGCUAAUCUUGUUUUACUUGUGUUUGCUUGGUUAUAAAAUUGCAUUUGUGAGUUUAAAUUUGGUUGUUUGAUUCUUGACAUCUGAUUUUCCUUGGUUUGAACUAAUUUUUCAUUAUUUUGUUGUUGUUGUUGUUUUGUUUGUUAUUGUUGAUAAAGUGAAAAAUGAAAGACAUAAAGAAAGAAAAUGUUGGCUAGUGAUGAUUAAUUGGAAAUGUACUAUGGGGGAUUGGAAUGCUAAAGCAAAAUAAUUUGGACUAAACUAAAAAUCGUUUAUUACUUUCAUUAUUCCCUUUGAUCGUAAGAAGCAUAUUUUAGGUUGUUAACGCAUGAGCAAGAAUUGAGUUUUCAUUUUAUUUAGUUCUAUUUUAUUUAUUUUAUUUUAUUAUCCGCUAGGAACAUACUUAGGCCGACCACACUUGGGGAGGC
rnacentral:lncRNA from 1 species